UGACCGCUGGCGGCAUGCUUUCCACAUGCACGUCGCACGGCAGCGCGGGCUUCGGCCUGGCGGCGAGUGGCGAACGGGUGAGUAAUGCAUCGGAACGUGCCCAGUAGUGGGGGAUAGCCCGGCGAAAGCCGGAUUAAUACCGCAUACGACCUGAGGGUGAAAGCGGGGGACCGAAAGGCCUCGCGCUAUUGGAGCGGCCGAUGUCGGAUUAGCUAGUUGGUGGGGUAAAGGCUUACCAAGGCGACGAUCCGUAGCUGGUCUGAGAGGACGACCAGCCACACUGGGACUGAGACACGGCCCAGACUCCUACGGGAGGCAGCAGUGGGGAAUUUUGGACAAUGGGGGCAACCCUGAUCCAGCCAUGCCGCGUGCGGGAAGAAGGCCUUCGGGUUGUAAACCGCUUUUGUUCGGGAAGAAAUCCUCUGGGCUAAUACCCCGGGGGGAUGACGGUACCGGAAGAAUAAGCACCGGCUAACUACGUG
rnacentral:rRNA from 1 species